CACUAGGUGGAGAGGAAACAUCUAUGUCAGCGUGGAUUUGGGAAACACUUCAGAUUCCGAGCCUAACACGGGACUGGGGCGCCCCCUUGGGUACGUUGUCCUGUCCAGUUGCUGAAAGCCAAAGGUGACAAUGGGGAGGUCUCAACCUGAGGAGGAGGCCAAAAGAGUCCGGUCUUCUGUUCUCAGCCCGCUGACCACACACAAGUGCCGAUGUUCUGCUCUCUUGGAUUCUGAUUGAGCAGCCUGGGAGAGGACUGGGCUGCAGUCUAAACUGGACAGAUAUGGCUGGUGUGGAGGCUGGCUGUCAAUGAGGGAGUGAAGCCAGCCAACAGUAGUAGCUGAAAAGCGAGAGCACACUGAUGAAGAACACUGCGGGCACAAAGAAAAGGAAAAGUAUGUGGAGCUUUGCUGUGUAUCUCUUAGUUCAUUCUACUCACUAGAACGUGGCGUUCUCAGGAAUUGACGUCCUCCAGGCCCCCAGAUGAGGGUAGUGAGCACCCUGAGAGCCAGCUGGACUCCCCUCUUGGUGUGUUACUGCACAGCCACAGCCUCUGGGUAGGGAGUUGUCCUGCACUUCUGGAAUCAUCUUUUUGGUCAUGGUGGCUACUGCUGUACUGUCCUUCUGAGGUCAGUGAGAUAGGGUGUUCACAGCCUCACUUGAAAGGAAACAAGAGACUUGUCAGGUUGAUGGAGAGAACAAGCUGUUCGACAGUGCGCAAACCAUAUCCUGGGCUUGUGGUUAGAACAUCCUGCAGCAAAGAGGUAGAAGAGCCAAGGGAGGCAUCCCCACAUCUGAGGAAGCCCAGAAACCCAUGAAUAGCGUCCUUGGGCUGACCUAUGCUCAUUACAAUAGUAGCAAACACAACUCUGAGAGGGAAGUUAAGAUGCUAAUGAGACGUAAGAUGUGUGUGCUGAUAUGUACAACCACAGUGCAUGCACGUUCAAGAGACCACAGAACAUGCUUAAAACAAUACCCCUUCCCACCUAUUCAUGAAUAAUCAUGUAAGACUCCCGUGAGGGGAGGGUACUGUCUCUCUUUUGAGCAGCUGCUCUGAUCAGCUGUCAGAGUGUACUUUCACUUUGCAAUAAAUUCUCU
rnacentral:lncRNA from 10 species